rnacentral:lncRNA from 1 species
UUUUUGCAUUUGUAAAAAUGGGUUACUUGUUUAAACAAUCUUUUAUGUCUUGUCAUACAAAUUCCAAAGGGUCUGCAUUCCUUUAUCUGUAAUUACAGUCUCAGAAUCCAAGUUCUGAAAACAAGGUAUCUAUUCUGAUCUGACACUGGAUCUGCUUAUCCCAUUUAGUGUGAAUAUUCAUUGAUUUAUGUGUUUGAUUAUUGGGAUGUGCUGCCACAGGCUCUCUUGAAGGUUGAUGUAGUGUGGCGUAUGCACUGAAUUACCUUUCUAAAAUCUGAACAGUUCUCAUUCUGAAACAUCUAGACUUAAGGGUUUCAGAUAAAAGACUGCGGUUCUCUGCCUUAUGUUAAAUAACUUAGAAGAUGUUAUUUUGUUUGAAAAAAUGUGAAAUGCUUUUAUAUUCUAGUUUUUCACUUUGCAUAUUAAAUGAUUUUAAAAUU